rnacentral:lncRNA from 1 species
GCCAUUGUCUCCCCCUUGUCCCCUCUCUCCCUCACCCCUUCCCUCUCUUUGUCUCUUCGAAUGUUUGCCUCCCCCGAUCCCCCUCCUGUUUCUGCUUCUCGUUCAUUUUUUUUCCUUUCAAGCUCGACUCCCCCUCCUUCGAUGCUCCUGUUUUCUUUUCAUUUCCCCUCUUGACGCCAACACUUCCACUCGUUAGUCCCCCACGUUGCUGCCACAUGCCCACAUCAGAAAUUCUUCAUCUGCUCGACCAAGUCACACCUGCAACCCAGCCCAUGUCAGCCCAUCUACUUCCUCCUUCACCACUUCACAACCCAACCCAUACGCCGGCGUCCCCCUUGCAGCUUCACCGUCCCACGAGCCCAGCAGCACUGCUGGAGUUGCUCCUUCGUUGACUCCGCCGCGUCAACUUCUCCACGUGACCAGCCCCUUCGGAUCUGAACCGUGGGCAACCCUUGGCCGUGAGCCUUGAAGGCUUUUUCGGCCUCGGUUUGGUCUUCCUUGGCGUCGCCUUAGGCCCAAGUUUUGGCCGCCGUCGCGCCACUGUCACCGUGAACUGAUUUUCGCGCUAAACUGGUGAGUUUAUGCACUAAACUCUAAUUAAGGUGUUAAUGAUGUUUAGGGGUGGCUUAGUGGUUCGGGUUAGGCUAAUUAAGGUUUGGAGACUUAGUUAGCCUAACUAGUUGAUUAAGAUAAUUUAGUUAGCUUAACUAGGUGGUUAGGUACUUAGUUAGUUGAUUUAGUUAGUUUAGUAAUUCAAUUAGUAUGUUAAAUUAAAUUAGUUAGAACGGUUAGGUAAAUUAGUUAGUUCAAUUUAUUAGCCCGGUUGGCUUAGAUUGAUUUAAUUGAGUGUUUUAAAUUAAAUAUUUUGCAAUUUAUUUAUUUAAUUGUAAUUUAUUUAAUUAUUUAUUAUUUUCCGAAAAUUAUACCAGGAUAGCCGAUAGCCGGAAUUUCAUGCUGAUUGCAACGGUGUGCUCAGUUUUAUAUAAUUGAAUGUUAAUUCGUGCAAAUUAAGUGGUGAUUGUGAUUUUGAGUUGUUAUUUCAAAAAUCGAAAAUUUUGGUAUUUAAUUAGAAAAUACCAGGUGUCGGGUUUUAUCACCACAAAUGGUUUUAAAUACUAAUUAAAUAGUGAGAUUUUUAAAAGGAAAUAUAUCAAUUUUUAAGAUUCGAUCUAACCGUGUGUUUUUAAUACGAAGAAAAUAGGCCAAGCACAUCAUUUUAAUUGAGGUAUUUGAGUGUAAUACACGAUAUCCUUGGCCAGGAUUGGAUGGUCGUGUGCUGGUUAUGAUACCUCGUCACCCGAUGUGCAUCGGGUGGCUGAUGCUCCUAUGUGGAAAGCCAUUGACAACAGAUAACAGUUGCAGUAGAGGUUGGGCCGGUGCUCUUAUGUGGAAUGUCGUAUUGAGGUAGACAUUGCCGUGCUCGAUGGUGGGAGAUGACGCCCAACUACGUCGAAAGACCACUGUGUGACGAGUAGAUCGUGAGUAAUCAAUUGGAACGUGUGAUUGAUUGAGCUGUGUGAGACGUCCCAAUUAAUGUGUGCAUUUAUUAUAUGUAUCUGUGAUAUGAAUUGUACUGACGUGCAGGAAGAGAUUGAGGCGAGGUGAGUCUCAUUGGUUGUGUGGUUGUGUGGCUAUGUGGUUAGGACGCUCCUAGGUGUAUUAUCUUCCUAAUUGGGGUUUAUGGCGUGAAUCGCUGAGAUUUAUAUUACACCCCGUCGUGAGUUACUAUUUUCAGGUCCCUAGUGUGAAAAACUCGGAGCUUGAGGUGGAAGGGUCAAGAGUAUAAGUGGCUCAGUAGUUCUUUUUAGAGAUAGAC